rnacentral:rRNA from 1 species
CAGUAGCCGCGGUAAUACAGAGGGUGCGAGCGUUAAUCGGAAUUACUGGGCGUAAAGCGCGCGUAGACGGUUUGGUAAGUUAGAUGUGAAAUCCCUGGGCUCAACCUGGGAACUGCAUUUGAUACUGCCUGGCUAGAGUAUCGAAGAGGGAAGUGGAAUUUCCGGUGUAGCGGUGAAAUGCGUAGAUAUCGGAAGGAACACCAGUGGCGAAAGCGACUUCCUGGUCGAAUACUGACGUUCAUGUGCGAAAGCGUGGGGAGCAAACAGGAUUAGAGACCCCUGUAGUCCCUGUCUCUUAUAC